GCCCGGGUGGCGGAAUGGCAGACGCGGCGGACUCAAAAUCCGCUGUCCGAGAGGGCGUGUGGGUUCGAGUCCCACCCCGGGCA
rnacentral:tRNA from 2 species